rnacentral:rRNA from 1 species
GGAGGAAAGCAGGGGAUCGAAAGACCUUAUGCUUUUGGAGCGGCCGAUGUCUGAUUAGCUAGUUGGUAAGGUAAUGGCUUACCAAGGCAACGAUCAGUAGUUGGUCUGAGAGGACGACCAGCCACACUGGGACUGAGACACGGCCCAGACUCCUACGGGAGGCAGCAGUGGGGAAUUUUGGACAAUGGGCGCAAGCCUGAUCCAGCAAUGCCGCGUGAGUGAAGAAGGCCUUCGGGUUGUAAAGCUCUUUCAGUUGAGAAGAAAAGAUUGUGACUAAUAAUUGCAAUUCAUGACGGUAUCAACAGAAGAAGCACCGGCUAACUACGUGCCAGCAGCCGCGGUAAUACGUAGGGUGCGAGCGUUAAUCGGAAUUACUGGGCGUAAAGGGUGCGCAGGCGGUUCUGUAAGUCAGAUGUGAAAUCCCCGGGCUUAACCUGGGAACUGCGUUUGAAACUACAAAGCUA